UACGUAGGGCGCAAGCGUUGUCCGGAAUUAUUGGGCGUAAAGAGCUCGUAGGCGGUUUGUCGCGUCUGCUGUGAAAACCUAAGGCUCAACCUUGGGCUUGCAGUGGGUACGGGCAGACUAGAGUGCGGUAGGGGUGACUGGAAUUCCUGGUGUAGCAGUGAAAUGCGUAGAUAUCAGGAGGAACACCGAUGGCGAAGGCAGGUCUCUGGGCUGACACUGACGCUCAUGCACGAAAGCGUGGGGAGCAAACAGG
rnacentral:rRNA from 1 species